GUGUCAGCCGCCGCGGUAAUACAGAGGUCCCAAGCGUUGUUCGGAUUCACUGGGCGUAAAGGGUGCGUAGGUGGUGGGGUAAGUCGGAUGUGAAAGCUCGGAGCUCAACUCCGAAAUGGCAUUGGAAACUACCCUGCUUGAGGGUCGGAGGGGGGACUGGAAUUCUCGGUGUAGCAGUGAAAUGCGUAGAUAUCGAGAGGAACACCAGUGGCGAAGGCGAGUCCCUGGACGACUCCUGACACUGAGGCACGAAAGCUAGGGGAGCAAACAGGAUUAGAUACCCCCGUAGUCC
rnacentral:rRNA from 1 species